UGGUGGUGGGGGAAGGAUUACUCAGCGCUGCGCGCUUCGCCCUUCGGGUCGUUGCCUGCGGCAACGCUCUCUCGCUGGCGCUCAAGUCGAACCUUGGUCGAAGCUUCUCAUCCUUCCCCGCUUGGGCAGAAU
rnacentral:sRNA from 1 species